AAAAACAACAUGGUGGGUUCUGCAGAGAAAGGGGGAGCCAAACACAGUCGCUUGUGUGUCACCUCUCGGGAGCAAUGGCCGGCGCUUCUUUUUCUCUCGUCCGUCUCCAACUGUGUUGUAUAUAUAUAUAUAUAGAAAAAAGACGUUAUUGAUUUUCACUUCCUCCAGUCUGUGUGUGUGUGUGUGCUGUCUAGCUCUCUCUGUGCUACGUCGCGGCUGCUGUGGAGGAGAAACAUAAGACGAUCGGUCCCGCGAGAUUCGAAAGAAAAAUGUUUUCCUUUUUUUCUUUCUAUCUGCUCUCGCCUGUAUACAUCUGUGUAGAGCCUGCGUCGUUCCGGAUAAAGACGACGACAGUCUGGCGGAUCAACCAGAUGGAAUAGAACGGAGCGCGGCGGCUGUCUAUAAAAGAGUUGAUUUCCAGUUGUGAGCUGUUGUCUUCUAUAUACGUCUUCCACGCACAUAGCACAUAUAAAGGGACGUAUCAAGUAUUUAUUGUCCAAAAAAAAGAAGAUUGGCCGCACCGGCAACGCCCUGUCGUUUUAGAUUGCGCGCGCUUUUAGGUCGAGAUGUCAAAUAGGCCUAUACAUUAUAUAUAUAGGCUAUACUAUAGAGAGAUAUCCACCCCUUUUUCCCCUAUUCAACACUGGACUCCUCCCCCCUUAUAUUCUACACUAUACCGAGCGCUCCUAGAUUAUAUUUAUAUUUGAAAAAUAGAAAACUCCGAGGACGAGAUAGUCACUCUGGUCGGCCCUUUUUGGAUUUUUCUUUUUUGCACCCCAGCAGCAGCAGCACCGGUUCAAAUGUUCAUCAUUUAUAUUAGAUGUAUUAGGGCCUCCCCCCUGCUUUCUUUUCUUCCUUGUUGUCACUAUAUUUAUAUAUUCAAUGUGAGGAUCCACACACCCCUUGACUUUAUAUUCGUUUAAUAUAUCACAAAAAAAGCUUCGAGACUUUUUCUAACUAGUCACAGCUGCUGCUGGUCUUGGUGAUGGCCUAUGUGGUCGUUCUAUUCGCGAUAAUAGACUCAAAGAGCCUCAUCCCAACAGAAGAGAAGAAAAAAAAAUGACGAUCGUGAGCUGGGAUCAAGUGAUUUCCAUGAAUUUCCAUUUGAUUUUUUCGUGUGUGUUGUUGGUCGGACCCAAAGUCGAUAGUGUGUCUACUCAAAGAUAGAAGAAAAAACACUACCGGUAGCUAUUAAAGAAACACGGGGGGCCCCACACAGCACACAGAGGGUGGUCGAUAUUAUCAUAUAGCUGUUGGGCGUGGCCGCUCUCGUCUGCUGCUCUUCUCGGUUUAAAGAUAUUACGCAUAAUAGAUUGCGCCACACACUCUGCUCUCGCUAAUCCCUCGGCUGCUCCUAUGUUUUCCUUUUUCUAUAGACAGGACAUGUCCGCCAGCAACACUCGCCAUCUAUAUAAUAAUCUAAAACGAAUGGCCGGAGCCCCUUUUAAUCCUUUUUUUAAAUUAUUCAAGAGUGUAAAAGGGAUUUUCAAGUGUCAAAAUAGAUAAGACUUUUUCAAAAAGAGAAGAAGAAGAACUGGCCCUUCGCGCGUUAUAUUUCGGACAGCAGCAAAGUGACGAGUUCAAGCCUUCAAGUGUUUGGCCAGAUCCCCUUAAAAUGUUGAGCUCCCGCGUAUAUAGUAGCCGUAGUAGUAGCCAUAAGAGUUAUAUAUUUCUAUAUAGUGCCCCGCGCAUCUAUAAUGGGAUAAUACAAGAACCUCUUUUGGAUAUCUGACGCUCGUUGAUGAGGGACGCGCACCACUCACAUCAUCUCUCGCGUCCAUUUUUAUUUUUAUAAAUUUUUUAAAAAUAAAAAUUUGGAGGGGCUGUGCUGUUGAGGGCGGCACAGAAGCGCGUGCUGACUAUUAUUUAAGCGGCUGUUGGUUUUAUUUUUCGUUCGGAAAAAAAGACAAAACAAAAAGCAGACGACCUCACACACACGACACCAUCUUGUGACUGGGUUACACUGAACAGAAAGGGCGUAGAUAGAGUGUGUGCAGAGAUAAUAAUAAUAUGAAAUAAGCCCAAAACAGCUGGGAAUAAGAGACUUUUCAUUUGUACAUGAUUUGCCUUUCUUCUUCUUCUUUCAGAGUCAAAGAGUUGCAGAGAUAAUCACAAGUGCCGUGUGAGAGCUAGAGAGAGAGGGGAGGUCUCGCACCCGAUGAUCGACGCCCUCCAUAACCGAACACAGUUGCUCUCCGGCGCUGCAAUUUGAGCAUCAACGGAAAAAGAAG
rnacentral:lncRNA from 1 species